GACGAACGCUGGCGGCGUGCUUAACACAUGCAAGUCGAACGGAAAGGCCCUGCUUUUGUGGGGUGCUCGAGUGGCGAACGGGUGAGUAACACGUGAGUAACCUGCCCUUGACUUUGGGAUAACUUCAGGAAACUGGGGCUAAUACCGGAUAGGAGCUCCUGCUGCAUGGUGGGGGUUGGAAAGUUUCGGCGGUUGGGGAUGGACUCGCGGCUUAUCAGCUUGUUGGUGGGGUAGUGGCUUACCAAGGCUUUGACGGGUAGCCGGACUGAGAGGGUGACCGGCCACAUUGGGACUGAGGUACGGCCCAGACUCCUACGUGAGGCAGCAGUGGGGAAUAUUGCACAAUGGGCGGAAGCCUGAUGCAGCAACGCCGCGUGCGGGAUGACGGCCUGCGGGUUGUAACCCGCUUUCGCCUGUGACGAAGCGUGAGUGACGGUAAUGGGUAAAGAAGCACCGGCUAACUACGUG
rnacentral:rRNA from 1 species